rnacentral:rRNA from 1 species
AUGAACGCUGGCGGCAUGCCUAACACAUGCAAGUCGAACGAAGGCUUCGGCCUUAGUGGCGCACGGGUGCGUAACGCGUGGGAAUCUGCCCUCAGGUUCGGAAUAACAGCGAGAAAUUGCUGCUAAUACCGGAUGAUAUCGCGAGAUCAAAGAUUUAUCGCCUGAGGAUGAGCCCGCGUAGGAUUAGCUAGUUGGUGUGGUAAAGGCGCACCAAGGCGACGAUCCUUAGCUGGUCUGAGAGGAUGAUCAGCCACACUGGGACUGAGACACGGCCCAGACUCCUACGGGAGGCAGCAGUGGGGAAUAUUGGACAAUGGGCGAAAGCCUGAUCCAGCAAUGCCGCGUGAGUGAUGAAGGCCUUAGGGUUGUAAAGCUCUUUUACCCGGGAUGAUAAUGACAGUACCGGGAGAAUAAGCUCCGGCUAACUCCGUGCCAGCAGCCGCGGUAAUACGGAGGGAGCUAGCGUUAUUCGGAAUUACUGGGCGUAAAGCGCACGUAGGCGGCUUUGUAAGUUAGAGGUGAAAGCCUGGAGCUCAACUCCAGAAUUGCCUUUAAGACUGCAUCGCUUGAUCCAGGAGAGGUGAGUGGGUUCGGAGUGUAGAAGGUGAAAUUCGUAGAUAUUCGGGAAGAAACACCAGUGGCGGAGGCGGCUCACUGGACUUGUAUUGACGCU